UACGUAGGGUGCGAGCGUUGUCCGGAAUUAUUGGGCGUAAAGAGCUUGUAGGCGGCUUGUCGCGUCUGCUGUGAAAUGUACCGGCUCAACCGGUGCCUUGCGGCGGAUACUGCAUAGCUGGAGUACUGGAGAGGGAAGUGGAAUUCCCGGUGUAGCGGUGAAAUGCGUAGAUAUUGGGAGGAACACCGGUGGCGUAGGCGGCUUGCUGGACAGUAACUGACGCUGAGGCGCGAAAGCCAGGGGAGCAAACGGGAUUAGAUACCCGU
rnacentral:rRNA from 1 species